UACGGAGGGUGCAAGCGUUAUCCGGAUUCACUGGGUUUAAAGGGUGCGUAGGUGGGUUGGUAAGUCAGUGGUGAAAUCUCCGAGCUUAACUUGGAAACUGCCAUUGAUACUAUCAGUCUUGAAUACCGUGGAGGUCAGCGGAAUAUGUCAUGUAGCGGUGAAAUGCUUAGAUAUGACAUAGAACACCAAUUGCGAAGGCAGCUUACUACAUAGUUAUUGACACUGAGGCACGAAAGCGUGGGGAUCAAACAGG
rnacentral:rRNA from 1 species